rnacentral:rRNA from 1 species
UACGGAGGGUGCAAGCGUUAUCCGGAUUCACUGGGUUUAAAGGGUGCGUAGGUGGGUCUGAAAGUCAGUGGUGAAAUACUCUAGCUUAACUAGAGGGUGCCAUUGAUACUGCGGAGCUUGAGUACAGAUGAGGUAGGCGGAAUUGACGGUGUAGCGGUGAAAUGCAUAGAUAUCGUCAAGAACACCGAUAGCGAAGGCAGCUUAACUGGGCUGUAACUGACGCUGAUGCACGAAAGUGU